CGUGCUUCAUCUGUCUGAUUCCACCUGGCCAGAGGGGCAGGAUCGGCAGGAUUCAAGGUACGGCUGCUUCUGAUCCCGCCAGCAAUAAGAACAAUACGUAGGAGCAUCGAACAUCCGACUCCACCAGACCAGAGGAACAGCAUUCAUCCUACACAAGAAAUAACACUACGAUUAACCUAACCAUUUAUUUCAUUUACAUUCCAGCUAUUAUACAAUAUGUACAUGAAGGAAAUAAAUAUGUGAAUUAAACUUUAA